UACGUAGGGCGCAAGCGUUAUCCGGAAUUAUUGGGCGUAAAGAGCUCGUAGGCGGUUUGUCGCGUCUGCCGCGAAAGUCCGGGGCUCAACUCCGGAUCUGCGGUGGGUACGGGCAGACUAGAGUGAUGUAGGGGAGACUGGAAUUCCUGGUGUAGCGGUGAAAUGCGCAGAUAUCAGGAGGAACACCGAUGGCGAAGGCAGGUCUCUGGGCAUUAACUGACGCUGAGGGGCGAAAGCAUGGGGAGCAAACAGG
rnacentral:rRNA from 1 species